UACGGAGGGUGCAAACGUUGCUCGGAAUUAUUGGGCGUAAAGCGCACGUAGGCGGUCCAGCAAGUCGGGUGUGAAAGCCCUCGGCUUAACCGAGGAAGUGCAUUCGAAACUACUGGACUUGAAUACUGAAGAGGAUCGCGGAAUUCCCGGUGUAGAGGUGAAAUUCGUAGAUAUCGGGAGGAACACCAGUGGCGAAGGCGGCGAUCUGGGCAGAUAUUGACGCUGAGGUGCGAAAGCGUGGGGAGCAAACAGGG
rnacentral:rRNA from 1 species